UAAUACGUAGGGGGCAAGCGUUGUCCGGAAUGAUUGGGCGUAAAGGGCGCGUAGGCGGCCUGGUAAGUCUGGAGUGAAAGUCCUGCUUUUAAGGUGGGAAUUGCUUUGGAUACUGCUGGGCUUGAGUGCAGGAGAGGUAAGUGGAAUUCCCGGUGUAGCGGUGAAAUGCGUAGAGAUCGGGAGGAACACCAGUGGCGAAGGCGACUUACUGGACUGUAACUGACGCUGAGGCGCGAAAGUGUGGGGAGCAAACAGGAUUAGAUACCCUGGUAGUCCACACUGUAAACGAUGAAUGCUAGGUGUAGGGGGUAUCGACCCCUUCUGUGCCGGAGUCAACACAAUAAGCAUUCCGCCUGGGGAGUACGGCCGCAAGGUUGAAACUCAAAGGAAUUGACGG
rnacentral:rRNA from 1 species